GGGAGAUGAUGUAUUUGGGGAAGUCACACUAAUUUUGGGGUACCCAUCCGACAUCUAAAUGGUGCGAUGGACUGAACAUGUCCCCCCAAAUUCCUAUGUUGAAGCCUUGGUCCCCAGUGGGAUGGUGCUUGGAGAGUGGGGCCCUGGGGGGCGAUGAGGGCGAGAUGUAGUCACGAGGGUGGGGCCCCCAUGUUGAUAUUCGUGCCCUUGUAGGAAGAGGAAGAGACCAAGUACUGUCCUCUAUGGGAGGGCAUGGCAGGAAGGCACCAUCUGAGCCCGGAAGUGGGUCCUCACCAGACACUGCUGUCACCUCUGCGCUGGACCUGCAGCCUCCAGAACUGUGAGAAAUGAAUUCUGCUGUUCAUUUAUGGGCCCCCCAGUCUAUGGCUUUUGUUUUAUGAGCCCCAGCUGACUAAGACAAGUGGUGUCUCUUGAUGAAUUGAUGAAUUCUCUGUGUUUUGAAGAGUCUUCAUGGAUGGUACUUCAGCCCGAGGAGAUGCGUGUGCUUUAUAAGAGAUUUCAGGGGUGAAGUCGCCCCAAGUUUUACAUCUGUAACAGGCUUUGAAUGACUGUUCUUGCCUCAGUGCCAGCAGAGUCAGCGGCACAAGGGAGAAUCAUCGGAGGAAACCCCCUCACUGGUGUGGAAUCGGAGCCCCCUUCCUGCGCUUGGAGUGGGGGUUCAGCAGCAGGUCUCUGUUCACUGUGACAAAUGCUGACGUUUCAUGGAGAUGCUGGAAUCUCGUGUUAAACAUGAGUGUGGACUCGCCCUCAAUCCCUUAUUUUACAGGUGUUUGUCACCAAGCGACCCUGGUCCUGCCAGGCCAUGUUGAGGGUCCCUUCUUUCUCCAAACCCUGUUUGCUCUUUUCUGGGUUUGCUGGACACAUGUUUUAAAUAAGAAGGUGAACACCACGAGUGUGCGGAUGUAUCUGCAUUGUAACUGGAAAGCUGUAGGAAGGCCUGGGAGGACUUCAACUCCAGAUGAAUUUCACGGUUUUGCCUGGCAUUCUGCAGAAGCAUUGCUGUAUCUUACCAGACAGGAAUACAGGUCUGCUGUGUGCCAAAAAUUUUUACCAUGCCCUAAAAGUGAGAUGUUGGAAGUGGACAAGGAGGAAAUAUUUAUGAAUAUUUGAGUUGUUAUUCUUCAUGUUAAGCUAUUUUGGCUUCU
rnacentral:lncRNA from 1 species